rnacentral:rRNA from 1 species
CCCUUAGAUGUUCUGGGCCGCACGCGCGCUACAAUGAUGAAUUCAACGAGUUUAUAACCUUGGUUGAAAAGCCUGGGUAAUCUUUUGAACUUUCGUCGUGAUGGGGCUAGACCCUUGCAAUUAUUGGUCUCCAACGAGGAAUUCCUAGUAAACGCAAGUCAUCAGCUUGCAUUGAUUACGUCCCUGCCCUUUGUACCCACCGCCCGUCGCACCUACCGAUUGAAUGGUCCGGUGAAAUCUUCGGAUUGAGACUUUGAUUUCUUCACGGAAAACGCUGUUUUAAAAAGUUGAUUAAACCUUACCAUUUAGAGGAAGGUGAAGUCGUAACA